UGCUGCUCUCUUCCAGCUUCACCAACACUCCCGAUUCUGGCCUCACAGCAACACAAGGACAAAGAACCCGGAGAAUCAACGUGACUGCGCGUUUGGGAAGAGGACAUAAGAGUGAACAUAGACAUAAUAUGAGUAGACCCCGCAUUGACAGUUGCUGCGCAGGAAUUACGGCCGCCAUCUUGGAGCAGUUGAACUGCUACCCAAAUUCUCCUGAUUUAAGAUGAACAGACGAAUAAUGCCUCAGCACUGUGUGGCGUAAUUGUAUUUGAAUCGACGGACUAUUGACGUCAGGGCUCGAGGGAUAACUUUUCACAAUGUGUCAUGUUUUGAUUCAUCCGAAUCCCUGCCGCUCAGAUUUUGCUCUGGCAUCUCCACUCAUACUCCCUUGGUGGUACCAAGCCGGGCGUGAGAACCCCCUCCCUGGAUUUACCUGGUUCGUCUGGACACACUCCGGUUCUUCCAGCUGUUCUUCCUGCCUGCCGCCACAGUUGUGCUGUUCUGGCCCCCCGCCUGUAUUACAUCUGCCAGCCCUCCUGUCACCCAGCCAACAUCUUCCAUCAGAGAGUUAUGGUCACAUGGUACCUUUUUCACUCAUCCCCCCCGGACAGGUCUCCCCAACCAAACGUCGUUCCUGCUGUGACGUUCAGACUCCGCCUGUCGCACACAGCAUGUGCUUUUCCUUUGUUGUGCCUGAAAAUAAACAACCUAAAAACUG